UAUCGGAACGUACCCUGGAGUGGGGGAUAACGUAGCGAAAGUUACGCUAAUACCGCAUACGAUCUAAGGAUGAAAGUGGGGGAUCGCAAGACCUCAUGCUCGUGGAGCGGCCGAUAUCUGAUUAGCUAGUUGGUAGGGUAAAAGCCUACCAAGGCAUCGAUCAGUAGCUGGUCUGAGAGGACGACCAGCCACACUGGAACUGAGACACGGUCCAGACUCCUACGGGAGGCAGCAGUGGGGAAUUUUGGACAAUGGGCGCAAGCCUGAUCCAGCAAUGCCGCGUGAGUGAAGAAGGCCUUCGGGUUGUAAAGCUCUUUUGUCAGGGAAGAAACGGUGAGGGCUAAUAUCCCUUGCUAAUGACGGUACCUGAAGAAUAAGCACCGGCUAACUACGUGCCAGCAGCCGCGGUAAUACGUAGGGUGCAAGCGUUAAUCGGAAUUACUGGGCGUAAAGCGUGCGCAGGCGGUUUUGUAAGUCUGAUGUGAAAUCCCCGGGCUCAACCUGGGAAUUGCAUUGGAGACUGCAAGGCUAGAAUCUGGCAGAGGGGGGUAGAAUUCCACGUGUAGCAGUGAAAUGCGUAGAUAUGUGGAGGAACACCGAUGGCGAAGGCAGCCCCCUGGGUCAAGAUUGACGCUCAUGCACGAAAGCGUGGGGAGCAAACAGGAUUAGAUACCCUGGUAGUCCACGCCCUAAACGAUGUCUACUAGUUGUCGGGUCUUAAUUGACUUGGUAACGCAGCUAACGCGUGAAGUAGACCGCCUGGGGAGUACGGUCGCAAGAUUAAAACUCAAAGGAAUUGACGGGG
rnacentral:rRNA from 1 species